GCGGGCGUAGUUCAGUGGCAGAACUUCAGCUUCCCAAGCUGAUAGCGCGAGUUCGAUUCUCGUCGCCCGCUCCA
rnacentral:tRNA from 1 species